rfam:Pyramidobacter piscolens W5455 contig00255, whole genome shotgun sequence.
CUUUUAUCAAGAGUCAGGGGAGAGAGUCAGCUCGACGAUCCUGCACCAACCUGCCCGCACGGGAAAGGUGGUCCGGCUGACAGCGAUGAGGG